rnacentral:rRNA from 1 species
GAUGAACGCUGGCGGCGUGCCUAAUACAUGCAAGUCGAGCGAACAGACGAGGAGCUUGCUCCUCUGAUGUUAGCGGCGGACGGGUGAGUAACACGUGGAUAACCUACCUAUAAGACUGGGAUAACUUCGGGAAACCGGAGCUAAUACCGGAUAAUAUAUUGAACCGCAUGGUUCAAUAGUGAAAGACGGUUUUGCUGUCACUUAUAGAUGGAUCCGCGCCGCAUUAGCUAGUUGGUAAGGUAACGGCUUACCAAGGCAACGAUGCGUAGCCGACCUGAGAGGGUGAUCGGCCACACUGGAACUGAGGCACGGUCCAGACUCCUACGGGAGGCAGCAGUAGGGAAUCUUCCGCAAUGGGCGAAAGCCUGACGGAGCAACGCCGCGUGAGUGAUGAAGGUCUUCGGAUCGUAAAACUCUGUUAUUAGGGAAGAACAAAUGUGUAAGUAACUAUGCACGUCUUGACGGUACCUAAUCAGAAAGCCACGGCUAACUACGUG